UACGUAGGUGGCAAGCGUUGUCCGGAUUUACUGGGCGUAAAGGGAGCGUAGGCGGAUACUUAAGUGGGAUGUGAAAUACCUGGGCUUAACUUGGGUGCUGCAUUCCAAACUGGGUGUCUAGAGUGUUGGAGAGGAAAGUGGAAUUCCUAGUGUAGCGGUGAAAUGCGUAGAGAUUAGGAAGAACACCAGUGGCGAAGGCGACUUUCUGGACAAUAACUGACGCCGAGGCUCGAAAGCGUGGGGAGCAAACAGGAUUAGAUACCCUGGUAGUCCACGCCGUAAACGAUGGGUACUAGGUGUAGGGGGUAUCGACUCCCCCUGUGCCGCCGUUAACACAAUAAGUACCCCGCCUGGGGAGUACGGUCGCAAGAUUAAA
rnacentral:rRNA from 1 species